rnacentral:rRNA from 1 species
GACGAACGCUGGCGGCGUGCUUAACACAUGCAAGUCGAGCGGUAAGGGCCCUUUCGGGGGUACACGAGCGGCGAACGGGUGAGUAACACGUGGGUGACCUGCCCUCAGCUCUGGGAUAAGCCUGGGAAACCGGGUCUAAGUACUGGAUAUGACUCCAUGACGCAUGUUGUGGGGUGAAAGCCUUGUGCGGCUGAGGAUGGGCCCGCGGCCUAUCAGCUUGUUGGUGGGGUGANGGCCUACCAAGGCGACGACGGGUAGCCGGCCUGAGAGGGCGACCGGCCACACUGGGACUGAGACA